CUACGUGCCAGCAGCCGCGGUAAUACGUAGGUCCCGAGCGUUGUCCGGAUUUAUUGGGCGUAAAGCGAGCGCAGGCGGUUAGAUAAGUCUGAAGUUAAAGGCUGUGGCUUAACCAUAGUACGCUUUGGAAACUGUUUAACUUGAGUGCAAGAGGGGAGAGUGGAAUUCCAUGUGUAGCGGUGAGAUGCGUAGAUAUAUGGAGGAACACCGGUGGCGAAAGCGGCUCUCUGGUCUGUAACUGACGCUGAGGCUCGAAAGCGUGGGGAGCGAACAGGAUUAGAUACCCUGGUAGUCCACGCCGUAAACGAUGAGUGCUAGGUGUUGGAUCCUUUCCGGGAUUCAGUGCCGCAGCUAACGCAUUAAGCACUCCGCCUGGGGAGUACGACCGCAAGGUUGAAACUCAAAGGAAUUGACGGGGGCCCGCACAAGCGGUGGAGCAUGUGGUUUAAUUCGAAGCAACGCGAAGAACCUUACCAGGUCUUGACAUCCCGAUGCUAUUUCUAGAGAUAGAAAGUU
rnacentral:rRNA from 1 species